ACGUGUCCUGUAGUGGGGGAUAGCCCGGCGAAAGCCGGAUUAAUACCGCAUACGAUCUACGGAAGAAAGCGGGGGAUCCUUCGGGACCUCGCGCUAUAGGGGCGGCCGAUGGCAGAUUAGCUAGUUGGUGGGGUAAAGGCCUACCAAGGCGACGAUCUGUAGCUGGUCUGAGAGGACGACCAGCCACACUGGGACUGAGACACGGCCCAGACUCCUACGGGAGGCAGCAGUGGGGAAUUUUGGACAAUGGGGGCAACCCUGAUCCAGCAAUGCCGCGUGUGUGAAGAAGGCCUUCGGGUUGUAAAGCACUUUUGUCCGGAAAGAAAACCUCUUGGUUAAUACCUGAGGGGGAUGACGGUACCGGAAGAAUAAGCACCGGCUAACUACGUGCCAGCAGCCGCGGUAAUACGUAGGGUGCGAGCGUUAAUCGGAAUUACUGGGCGUAAAGCGUGCGCAGGCGGUCUGUUAAGACCGAUGUGAAAUCCCCGGGCUUAACCUGGGAACUGCAUUGGUGACUGGCAGGCUUUGAGUGUGGCAGAGGGAGGUAGAAUUCCACGUGUAGCAGUGAAAUGCGUAGAGAUGUGGAGGAAUACCGAUGGCGAAGGCAGCCUCCUGGGCCAACACUGACGCUCAG
rnacentral:rRNA from 1 species